rnacentral:rRNA from 1 species
UACAGAGGUGGCAAGCGUUGUUCGGAAUUACUGGGCGUAAAGGGCGCGUAGGCGGCUUGGUCAGUCCCGUGUGAAAUCCCUCGGCUCAACUGAGGAACUGCACGGGAAACUGCCUGGCUUGAGUUCGGGAGAGGGAAGCGGAAUUUCAGGUGUAGCGGUGAAAUGCGUAGAUAUCUGAAGGAACAUCAGUGGCGAAAGCGACUUCCUGGACCAAUACUGACGCUCAUGUGCGAAAGCGUGGGGAGCAAACAGG